rnacentral:rRNA from 1 species
AGUUUAGUGAGUUUGAUCCUGGCUCAGAAUGAACGCUUUUGGUAUGCUUUAUACAUGCAAGUCGAACGAAAAAUUAAUUUUCGUGGCGUCCGGGUGAGUAAUUACGUAGAAUGUUACCUUUUAGUCAAGAACAAAGUACUUAGAUUUAAGUAUUAAACUCUUAGAUAGUUAAUAAAAGUAGAAUGUUUUGUUUUAAUGAUAAAAUUAAUCUGCUAAAAGAUAGGUCUGCGAAAGAUUAGGUUGUUGGUUAUUUUAACAGCUAACCAAGCCUACGAUCUUUAGUUGGUCUUAGACGGAUGUACAACCACAUUGGAACUGAAAUAAGGUCCAAGCUGAUUUUUCGGCCAGCAGUAAGGAAUAUUGGACAAUGAACGAAAGUUUGAUCCAGCAAUAUCAAUAUGAAUUAAAAAAUUAUAACUAUUUAGUUAUUUUUGAAGAUCUUUUAUGGUUGUAAGGUUCUUUAGUUAAAAAUGAAAAUGACGUUAUUUAAUCUAAUAAGUCCCGGCUAAUACUCGUGCCAGCAGCCGCGGUAAAACGAGGGGGGCAAGCGUUAUUCGUCUUGACUGGGCGUUAAGGGUUCGUAGACGGUAAAGCAAGUUUUGUGUCAAAGAUUAAAGCUUAACUUUUAUAAACACAAAAUACUACUUUACUUGAGUUUUAUGCAGGAGAAUAUAAUUUUAUAAGUAAGGGUAAAAUCUAACUAUAAAUAAAGGAAUGUUAUAGGCGAAAGCGAUUCUCUAGUAAAAACUGACGUUGAGGGACGAAAGUAUAAGUAGCAAACAGGAUUAGAGACCCUGGUAGUUUAUACUGUAAAUUAUGAAUGCUGUAAUUUAAUGACAUUCUAUGAAAGCGGGGGUAAACCCCCGCCUCAUGCCUUUUUUGAGGCAAAGAGUGAUACAACAGAUCCUGAGAUUGUAUUGUUUUUUCUUGAAAGAGAUCGAUCUUCUUGUUUACUUGGGAGAUCAGCUCAGAAAAUUUCAAGAAGCGCCUCGGUCCUUUGUCUUUUUGGAAGAUGCUCCAAUGAUUCUGACGACGCUUUUGUAAUUUGUUUUGUUAGUACUGUGGCUUAUAUGCAUCACGGUAUUUAACAUCCGAUUAAAAAUUUGUUAAAACUAAGCGUUUUGACCUUGGUGUUGUAACGAAACUUUACUUUGAGCACCCUUUAGCGACUUGUUUGCAUAAAGGGGGAUGUAAAUCCUUAAACCGCUUUCAUAGUAUAAUUCUGUUUUAGAUUUUUUAAGUUAACACUAUAAGCAUUCCGCCUGAGGAGUACGAUCGCAAGGUUGGAACUCAAAGGAAUUGACGGGAGCUUAACACUAGCAGUGGAGCAUGUGGUUUAAUGCGAUAAUCCGCGCAAAAUCUUACCAAUUUUUGACAUUGAAAAUUUUUAUUUAUUUUACUUUUAUAAAAAAUAAAUUUGAAUACAGGUGUUGCACGACUGUCGUCAGCUCGUGUCGUGAGAUGUUUGGUCAAUUCCUUUUAACGAGCGUAACUCUUUUCUUUUCUAUAAUGAUGUUAACAAUUUUUUAGAAAGUUACUCUAAAAAUCGUUUAAAAGAUACAGUCAGUGAUAAACUGAAAAAAGGUGAGAACUAAGUCAAGUCAAUGUGACCCUUAUAAAUUGGGCUACACACGUGCUACAAUGGAAAUUACAAAAAGUUACCGAAAAGUUUUUAGUGAAUCUUAAAAAUUUCCUUAGUACGGAUUGUAUACUGCAACUCGUAUACAUAAAGUUGGAAUUGCUAGUAAUCGCGAAUCAGCAUGUCGCGGUGAACAUGUAAAUUAGCUUUGUACACACCGCCCGUCACAUGCAGAAAGUUAGUUUUACUUGAAGGUUCAUUAUUAUUUUGUGAGCCCAUUGAGAAAUUAAUAAUUUGGAUGAAGUCGUAACAAGGUAGUGGUACGGGAACGUGUCGCUGGAAUUUAUUUUUUUU